UACGUAGGGUGCGAGCGUUGUCCGGAAUUACUGGGCGUAAAGAGCUUGUAGGUGGUUUGUCCGCGUUGUUCGUGAAAUCUCACGGCUUAACUGUGAGCGUGCGGGCGAUACGGGCAGACUAGAGUACUGCAGGGGAGACUGGAAUUCCUGGUGUAGCGGUGGAAUGCGCAGAUAUCAGGAGGAACACCGGUGGCGAAGGCGGGUCUCUGGGCAGUAACUGACGCUGAGAAGCGAAAGCGUGGGGAGCGAACAGG
rnacentral:rRNA from 1 species